GACGUAGGAGGCGAGCGUUGUCCGGAGUUACUGGGCGUAAAGCGCGCGCAGGCGGCCCUGUGCGCUGCCGGUGAAAGCUCCCGGCUUACCUGGGAGAGGUUCGGCAGGACGGCAGGGCUGGAGGGUGGGAGAGGUCGGUGGAAUUCCCGGUGUAGUGGUGAAAUGCGUAGAGAUCGGGAGGAACACCCGUAGCGAAGGCGGCCGACUGGACCACACCUGACGCUGAGGCGCGAAGGCCAGGGGAGCCGGAACGGG
rnacentral:rRNA from 1 species